GGCCAGCCUGCGGAGCCGGGACCCAGCGGAGAUCCGAGCCCGGUGGCCAGAAGAGGCGGGCCGGUAGCCGGGACCCGGUUCCUGGCACACGGCCUCCAGACAGCGACGCGAGAUGUUUGCACCUGCGGUGACCUGGCCCGCGCCUGCGCAGACGGACGCCUCCCACGCGGCACCGGGAUCACGCCCUUGGUUCGAGGCUGCGCGGGGCGACCUGCCUGCCUCGUGGCUCCAGGAGAGUCCUGACCCCGAGGUCUCUAUUGCAGACCACGCCUCUCCAUUCACACUGUAGUAACUGCCUCUAAGGAAACCUCAGGCUUUAUCUUUCUCCAUUUGCAAGAAAAUGGACUGUGGGAAAAACAUCUUGGAAAGGAAACUCCACAUCUGACCUUUACUGCAGACUUUCACUGUGUUUCGUAUUCACUAAAAUGGCAAAGAUACUUCA